UCUGAUCACCAAGAUGGCUGGCUACAAGUGACUAAUAGGAAGGUGGCGUAGACAGCAUGGAGACCCUGGACAAAGGGAAGAUUCACAUCUUAGAAUCUCAACUUCUUCGGACAAAAAGCAGACCCAGUCCUUACUAUCUGCCACCCAGGCAUCGACAUCUCCUUCACUGAAGAAAUCAGCAAGGAAUAUGAUAACCAGGUUUCAUCUGAUUUUCUUUUUCAGGCCACGGACGACUAAAUGCUUGAUCAGAGCAAGCAGGACCCUGUGUUCCAUAAUCAUGUGUGACAAUACGUAAAAUUGCUAUGGAAAUUUUCCUCAUUAA